rnacentral:rRNA from 1 species
AUUACAGAGUGUAAGGCUUUGCCCGGCUUCCCGCCGCGUGCAGAGUCGACCCUCCACCCGUGUUAACCUAUAUCUCAUGUUGCUUUGGCGGAUCGAGCCCUCGUGGCUCACCGGCUUUUGCUGGAGCGCGUCCGCCAAAGACACCAACCUAACUCGUGUACACAUGCAGUCUAAGGAAAGAUUAUUGAAUCAUUAAAACUUUCAACAACGGAUCUCUUGGCUCUGGCAUCGAUGAAGAACGCAGCGAAACGCGAUAAGUAAUGUGAAUUGCAGAAUUUAGUGAAUCAUCGAAUCUUUGAACGCACAUUGCGCCCCUUGGUAUUCCGAGGGGCAUGCCUGUUCGAGCGUCAUAACACUCCCUCAAGCCGUACGGUUUUCCGUGUAGCUUGGCGUUGGGGCUCGCCAUGCCGGUGGCCCUUAAAGGCAGUGGCAGUGCCAUCGUAAGCUCUACGCGUAGUACAUUUUCUCGCGACAGAGUAGCGACAGCAACUGGCCAAAAGCCCAAUCUUAUGACAUGUUGACCUCGAAUCAGGUAGGGAUACCCGCUGAACUUAAGCAUAUCAAUAAGC